AAUGUUGACGUAGCUCGUCAUUUGUCACGACGUGUCUCGUUAUUGGCUAUUAGCUUCUGGGCGGGACUUAGAGAGGCGGAGAAACGAAGCCGGAAAACAUAUUUAAACCAUGUUUGAACCGUUGCUCCUGUUUGCUAGUCCUGUGGGAAAACGUUGAUACUGAAGAGAGGCCUGGAUGCUAAAACAAACUCUGGACCUGUGUUUUUUGUCGAACACGAGUGAGACUGGACAUUGAACACACCUACGGCGUCGAGCUUUACUGGUUCAGCUGCUGCAGCCUGGAUAGAAACACCAGCUCUCACCUGAUAAACCAAACAGGUGUCGCCAUGUAUUCCACAAUCACAGAGAAUUUUCGUGCAGUGAAGACAUUCUUUCAGACCUGGACUGAGGCCUCCAGGAUUCAAACUUGAACCAUUAAACCACACACAGAAGAGACAAUGUGAGGACAUUUCCAGAAGGUCUUCAGCUGCUGUCGUCUCCUCCUCCUGCAGAGACAAGAACACGUCUUAAUCACAGAAACUGAUCAGUAAAUCUAAAUAUUUUUUGAUAUUUUUAUGCCUUACUAUAUUUUUCGCAUAUCUGGCACCAUGAUAUCAUUUAAAGGAGCCAUCUUAUGUUGUUUUCCCACAGACACUUCUACAAUGUUUUUGUGGAUUAGAUUAGAUUUUCAUUUUGCUAUUUCAAAGAGUGCAAUAUCUGUACCCAAAGCCAAUCUAUUACUGUGUACAUACUCAUGUUUAUAAAAUGCCCUUUUCCGUUUUUACUGUUCCAACACUGAAUUUCCCCACUGUGGGACUGAUAACGGAUUAUCUUAAAUAAAUACUU